UACGUAGGCAGCAAGCGUUGUUCGGAGUUACUGGGCGUAAAGGGUGCGUAGGCGGCUUCUUAAGUCUGGUGUGAAAUCUCCCGGCUCAACUGGGAGGGUGCGCCGGAUACUGAGGGGCUAGAGUGUGGGAGAGGAAAGUGGAAUUCCUGGUGUAGCGGUGAAAUGCGUAGAUAUCAGGAGGAACACCGGUGGUGUAAACGGCUUUCUGGACCAUAACCGACGCUGAGGCACGAAAGCGUGGGUAGCAAACAGG
rnacentral:rRNA from 1 species